GCGGACGUGGUGCACGGUGCACCGCUGCGAGCAAUUUGUGAGUGUUGUCGUAUUUAAUACAGCAGCCGAACAGGGUUCGACUCCCUGCGUCCGCA